rnacentral:rRNA from 1 species
AGAGUUUGAUCAUGGCUCAGGAUGAACGCUGGCGGCGUGCCUAACACAUGCAAGUCGAGCGAUUCUCUUCGGAGAAGAGCGGCGGACGGGUGAGUAACGCGUGGGUAACCUGCCCUGUACACACGGAUAACAUACCGAAAGGUAUGCUAAUACGGGAUAAUAUGUUUUGAUCGCAUGGUCGAAAUAUCAAAGCUCCGGCGGUACAGGAUGGACCCGCGUCUGAUUAGCUAGUUGGUGAGGUAAUGGCUCACCAAGGCGACGAUCAGUAGCCGACCUGAGAGGGUGAUCGGCCACAUUGGAACUGAGACACGGUCCAAACUCCUACGGGAGGCAGCAGUGGGGAAUAUUGCACAAUGGGCGAAAGCCUGAUGCAGCCAACGCCGCGUGAGCGAUGAAGGCCUUCGGGUCGUAAAGCUCUGUCCUCAAGGAAGAUAAUGACGGUACUUGAGGAGGAAGCCCCGGCUAACUACGUGCCAGCAGCUGC